UUAAUCUACUAGUGUAUGAUAUUUACUUUCCCUUUUAUUUAUUUAGUUUUUUAUUUUACAAUAAAAGCAGUAUCACAAUUUACAACCAAGCUACCACUCUCUCUCUUAACUUUUCGUCUCUCAAAAUCUCAAAACCCUAACAAGCGAUGAUGACAAGAGGGAAGAAGAGAAAUUAUCAAUCCAUUGAAGCGCCGAUGUCUAACAUUCCCGACGAUUUGAUCCCCGACGUUCUCUGCCGACUUCCAGUGAAGUCUCUGCUUAGGUUCAGGUGCGUUUCGAAACAAUGGCGUGCCCUAAUCGACUCCCCUAACUUUAUCAAUUUGCAUCUCAAUCAAUCACUCAGAACCAACACUAACUGGAGUCUGAUUUCUAGACGCUAUUCGUUCCAGAACCUCUAUUGCAUAGGGUACCAAUCUCUUGAUGAUAUCCUGAAACAUGGUUACCAUAAUGUUCUACCAGUAAAGCACGAGUACCCUUUUCUGAGAUUACCUCACCACUUUAAUAUAGUAGGUUAUUGCAAUGGCUUGAUGUGUUUGCUUUCUUCUACUUUGAGUAGUAUUAAAGCACCCAUUUUGUUAAACCCUUCCACCAAGAAACACCAAAUUUUACCACCUGAGCCACAAAUUUGGAGUUCGUACCCAGUUUAUGGAUUUGGGUAUGAUGCUGUAACUGACGACUACAAGAUUGUAAGAGUCUCCAGAUUUGUUGGGGAGGGUUUUGGCCCUGAAGUAGUAGUUUUUAGUUCGAGAUUGAAUAAAUGGAGAAUGAGUCCACAUUGUGUUCCUCAUUUCCUUAGACAUAACUUUUCUGGUGUGUUUUUUAAUGGUGCUUUGCAUUGGGUAGCUACUCGCCAGCACGAGUCACCUUUGGAUAAUUAUAGUAUUUAUAUUGUUGCUUUUGAUCUUGUGGUUGAGAACUUCCGAGAGGUGAAACUCCCAAACCACUCGGAUUAUGAGACUGUGACUUUGGGGGUUUCGGGUGGAUGCUUGUGGGCAGGUUGGAUUGAUGAUGAUAACCAUGUUCAAUUAUGGGUUAUGAAGGAUUACAUGGUACAAGAGUCUUGGACCAAACGUUCAUUAUCUUUCUCUUCACAAGUAUGUAAGAUUCUUCAUAGGUGCCGAGUGAGAAUUUUAGCUUAUUCAAGUAGCAGCAGCGAAGUACUCGUAAUGGAAAUUAAUAACCAACUCCAUUGGUUAGAUUUGAAACAACAUAAAGUUGUGCAUCUUGACAUCCCUGCAUAUGAAAAAGAGCUUUUUAUCGCUAGCCUUGUGAAGCUUCCCUGUGAUCGAGGAAAUGUCAUUCUGUUGAGAUCCAAUUUGUGGAGAAGGGUUCAUGAUAAUUUCUCUCAUCGCCUUAGAUAUGAGUAUAUGACUCUGUUGUGCUUGUUCGUGGUGCUUUGCAUUGGGUAGCUUGUCGCAGCCUGGGUUACCUAUGGACGAAUUUAUUGCUUCUUUUGAUCUUGUGGCUAACAACCUUUGGGUGGUGCAAUCCAGUCUUUUGGGAUUAUUGGUUCGUGUUUUGGAUGGAUGCCUGUGCUUGGCGGGGAAGUACCAUUGGGCUAUAAUGCCUUCUGUGUAAAGACCAAAAUUGGUUGGUCAGAAACUAUAGUUUGAGACCUACAAAAUCUGGUUCAGCCCGACUACCAUAUGGGGUAAAGAGGGGUCAUGAAUUGUGCAUAACAUGAUAACUUUCUUGAAGAACUGAAACCCUCGACACACUGGGUAAGUCACAUGAGUAAAACUGUAACUCUUACACGCCAAACUCAGUUAAAAGGUUCCUGAGGGAUGUUUGGAACGCUGCAAUGGCAACACCUAUUUAAGCCUACACCGUGAACAUGAUUUUUAAGUCCUCUGUUUUCGAUUAGCCACCAAUGGAUUUUUCCUUUUUAGGCAUUCACCCUAUACAUGAUUUUUAAGUCCUCUGUUUUCGAUUAGCCACCAAUGGAUAUUUUCUUUUACGCAUUCACCCUAUACAUGAUUUUUAAGUCCUCUGUUUUCGAUUAGCCACCAAUGGAUAUUUUCUUUUACGCAUUCACCCUGAAGUCACAUGAACAUGAUUUGUUGUGUAACCUUUGUUGAGUCCUACCAGAGUAGUGUGCAACUUUAAAAGCGUUAAGUACAACUUAUUACAGCACCACUUGUUCUGAACUUCUGGCUAGUCCAAUGCUCGUUAAUUUUGACAGCAGUGUCAGCGUGUGUUAUAAACAUAUAAUUCCAAAGGUUUUUGUGUUUGAAACUUAUAAUUUCUGAAUAAUAUAUGCAUUAGUUAAGAUUAUGCUCUCUUGUGCGUUUUUUAUUAGUGUGUAUUAGUGUAUGUGUUUGCUUGAACUUUAGAAGAAGGAAAAAAAAAAAAGAAAAAAAGAUACUUGUAAUACUCAACUUCCCCUAAUAAAAGUUGAACACCCCCACCGGGACUGAUAGGACCAUAUGUAAAUAAAGUACGGAAUAUUCCGGUAAUUUAUUAUGUGGUGCCCAAUCAAAUAGAGAGCCUUGUUUUUCCUUGAAAACUCUUCGUUCUCAUGGUAUCAAUACAAAUUAAGAAUUUUUAGGACUCCCCAUUGGCGGGCAUGAGUACCACAUGAAAGUACUCUCACGACCAAAUGGCCUAACGAUAUCACCCUUUUCUUUCCAAAGAGGAGUUGGGGGUUCGAAUCCGGUGAAAAUAGAUAUGUGCAUAAUUACUUUAACUUCAAAAAAAAAAAAAAAUCCUCCCACAUUAUUGUAUAUUUUCUCCAACACCACACAGAAACCCCAGUAAAUCCUUUAGUACAGUGAGGUGGCAUGAGGUAAGAAACUCAUGAUGACUGCAUGUAGUGCUCUUCAGAGCUACUAGCUAGCAAAAGAUAAAUUAGAUAAUAAAGGUUAGAUUGGUUGGUGCACUCUAAGUGUGUAUAGUAGAUAUAUAUAUAUAUAUAUAUAUAUAUAUAGACAAAAAGGCAAUUGAUGUUGCCAAGGCAAGCAUGCAGGCAUGCAGCAGUAGUGGAUAUAUAUAUAUAUAUAUAUAUUAUUAUUAUUAUUAUAUAUAUAUAUAAACACAAUGUGAUGUUUGAGUUAUAUAUAUAGGUACAAUUAGUGGUGUAAUACUGCUUUGCCAAAAUGAUCUUUUGUUGUGUGUGUUAAUGUCUGAAAGCAAUUUCAAAGAAACAUUAAAUGGUAGACCGAGAUUGAGAUUGACCUCACAGUGCAGUGGCAUUCUGAGACUACUGCAUUAUAUGAAUAGUAGUAAUUAUUAUAUAAGACAUGGGAAUUAGGGUACUAGCACUAGUGGCUACAUUUAUUUUGUGUAUGAAAUUGGGAAAUGCAAAGAGAGACAAAAGGAACAGUCAUGAAAAAGUUAGAGGUUGUGGGAGAGAACCAUUUGGAGCUAAGUUCCUAGGGUUGUGUUUAUGUUCUUUCUCUUUCAAUUCUCUCUGACAUAAUGGAGAGAGAGAGGAAGAGAGAGAGAGAGAGAGAGAGAGAGAGGGAGGUUUUUGGAAACGAAGAUAGAGCAAGUGUGUGUGUGUGAGAGAGAGAGAGAGAGGGGGAGGGAGGUUUUUGAAAACGAAGAUAGAGCAAGUGUGAUUUAAUGGUCAAAGGUCACACUGCUUGUAUUAGUACCAAUUAAAUGCACCACUGUUUUCCUAUUUAUCAUUUUAAUGGAGUCUGAUGGUCUUUAUACUGUCUAGGGGACCACUGAAAUGACAUCACAGACCUUCAUUAGUUUGUGAUUUGGUAUAAUAUUAUAUUGUAAUUAUAAGACUAAAAUAUAGAAAUCUUGUGACAUUGAUAAUAAGCACAAAAAUUAAAACCAAUAAUAUUUAUAGUCAUAAUUGUUGCUCACAAAAAUUAAAACCAAUGAUAUAAUGAAGGAAUGGGCAUAAUUGUUGCUCAAAUGCUUUUAAAUGUCUUAAUGCCCAAGAAAAGAUAUUUUAUACAUACAGCCUUCAACCAACAAAAAAAGAGAAGAAAAAAAAUGUCAAACCUUGAAAACAGAGUAUUUAAUUCUACAAAAGCAAGAAAAACAAAUUCUUAUUAUCAUCCCAUCUGUUCCUUCCUUGCUAGAAAGUGACACAUCAAUCCCAUCUUUUAUUAAACAGCCAAUUAUACCCUUAUCCUUUAUUUCUUGAUGAAUCCAGAACUUGUAUAUAAAUAGCUACACCACCCUCCUCACUUACCCAAAAAAAAAAAAAAAAAGCUACACCACCCUCCUCAUCUAUACACACACACACACACAAAGCACCACCAUGGCACUGUUACAACAAGCUGUGUCAACGUUAUCAGCCAUCUUCUCUAGAGCUUGGUUCCUCCUAGUCAUAGCUCAUAUGGUCGACCAAGGUCAUGAUGAUAACAUGAGACAACAAUUGAGAAUCUGAAACAAGAUAUGGUGAUAUCUCUCCUGAGCUUAUUCUUCUUAUGCCUCUCCUUUCUUUCUUUGGACCCCGCCAAGGCCGUUCGAGUUUUCUUGACCUUGCAAGCCCGUUGCCACUCUGUGCACCGUUCAAAUGCUUGGAUGCAAGAUCUUUCGUUAGGGCUGGUGGAAGUUCUUUUUUCUUUUCUAUCCCUCCUGAACUUUUUCUUUAACGUACUCUCACCGUUAGGUUUUGUAUAUCUCAUCACCCUUACAGGUUUGUUUCAGAAUGAAAAAACACUUUCUUGUUUUUAGUUUUGCUUGAAUAUAUUUGUUCCAAGGAUAUGUAAGGAAUGAUAUAUAUAUAUAUAUAUAUAUAUAAGACCUUUUGUUUUAAUGUGUGUGUUUUUCUGUAUUUGUAGCAUUUAUAUCUUGUCUGGCAUUUCAUGGAAUUUGGAUGUAUCAUCCUAAAAAUCGAAGUCUAAGUUGUGUAACCAUAAGUCUGCUGUAUGAUAUCUGACAGGGAAGGGUGAAGAUUAAAAUUUUCGCAUAUGUACCCAAAAAAAAUGGAAAAAAAUUCCUGAUUCUCACAGGAUAGAAAAAUGAAGCAUUUUAGCCAUGUUACAACUUUCUAGGUACAUUUAACUCAUGACAAUCAAACCAUUUAAAAUUCAUUGAAACUUGACGACAGCUCGAUUCUACAAUCCAUUAAUGUCGAUUGGUAAGUUUUUAUUUUUAUUUUAAGGAUUUUGUGUGGCUUUCUACUGGCUACACGUACUUUUUUUUAGCCACUAAACACAUGUAACCACAAUUU